GGAUGCGAUCAUACAAGCAGUAAAGAACCGGAUCCCAUCAGAACUCUGAAGUUAAGUGUGCUUGGGAGAGAGUAGUACCAGGAUGGGUGACCUCCUGGGAAGUCCUCAUGUUGCAUUCC
rnacentral:rRNA from 2 species